rnacentral:rRNA from 1 species
ACUAUCAUUAACUGAAUCCAUAGGUUAAUGAGGCGAACCGGGGGAACUGAAACAUCUAAGUACCCCGAGGAAAAGAAAUCAACCGAGAUUCCCCCAGUAGCGGCGAGCGAACGGGGAGGAGCCCAGAGCCUGAAUCAGCAUGUGUGUUAGUGGAAGCGUCUGGAAAGGCGCGCGAUACAGGGUGACAGCCCCGUACACAAAAGCGCAUGUGCUGUGAGCUCGAUGAGUAGGGCGGGACACGUGGUAUCCUGUCUGAAUAUGGGGGGACCAUCCUCCAAGGCUAAAUACUCCUGACUGACCGAUAGUGAACCAGUACCGUGAGGGAAAGGCGAAAAGAACCCCGGCGAGGGGAGUGAAAAAGAACCUGAAACCGUGUACGUACAAGCAGUGGGAGCACCCUUUGGGUGUGACUGCGUACCUUUUGUAUAAUGGGUCAGCGACUUAUAUUCUGUAGCAAGGUUAACCGAAUAGGGGAGCCGGAGGGAAACCGAGUCUUAACCGGGCGUUAAGUUGCAGGGUAUAGACCCGAAACCCGGUGAUCUAGCCAUGGGCAGGUUGAAGGUUGGGUAACACUAACUGGAGGACCGAACCGACUAAUGUUGAAAAAUUAGCGGAUGACCUGUGGCUGGGGGUGAAAGGCCAAUCAAACCGGGAGAUAGCUGGUUCUCCCCGAAAGCUAUUUAGGUAGCGCCUCGUGAAUUCAUCUCCGGGGGUAGAGCACUGUUUCGGCUAGGGGGCCAUCCCGGCUUACCAACCCGAUGCAAACUGCGAAUACCGGAGAAUGUUAUCACGGGAGACACACGGCGGGUGCUAACGUCCGUCGUGAAGAGGGAAACAACCCAGACCGCCAGCUAAGGUCCCAAAGUCAUGGUUAAGUGGGAAACGAUGUGGGAAGGCCCAGACAGCCAGGAUGUUGGCUUAGAAGCAGCCAUCAUUUAAAGAAAGCGUAAUAGCUCACUGGUCGAGUCGGCCUGCGCGGAAGAUGUAACGGGGCUAAACCAUGCACCGAAGCUGCGGCAGCGACACUGUGUGUUGUUGGGUA